UACGUAGGGGGCAAGCGUUGUCCGGAUUUAUUGGGCGUAAAGCGCUCGCAGGCGGUCCGAUGCGUCGUGCGUGAAAGACCCCGGCUCAACUGGGGAGGGUCAUUCGAUACUGAUCGACUCGAAGGCAGGAGAGGGAAGUGGAAUUCCCGGUGUAGUGGUGAAAUGCGUAGAUAUCGGGAGGAACACCAGUGGCGAAGGCGACUUCCUGGCCUGUUCUUGACGCUGAGGCGCGAAAGCUAGGGGAGCAAACGGG
rnacentral:rRNA from 1 species